UACCAUCUGUGAAAGCAGAGUUUGACUCUUUGAGUCACAUAGUGACAGGUGGUGCAUGGCUGUCGUCAGCUCGUGUCGUGAGAUGUUGGGUUAAGUCCCGCAACGAGCGUAACCCCUGUCCUUAGUUGCCAGCACAUAAUGGUGGGGACUCUAAGGAGACUGCCAUAGAAAAAAUAUGGAGGAAGGUGGGGAUGACGUCAAGUCAUCAUGCCCCUUAUACUCUGGGCUACACACGUGCUACAAUGGUCUAAACAGAGGGUGGCGAGAUCGCGAGAUCAAGCUAAUCCCACAAAUUAGAUCUCAGUUCGGAUUGCAGAUUGCAAUUCACCUGCAUGAAGCUGGAGUCGCUAGUAAUCGUGGAUCAGAAUGCCACGGUGAAUAAGUUCUCGGGCCUUGUACGCACCGCCCGUCACACCACCCGAGUUGGGGACACCAGAAGUCAUUUGCUUUUGCAAGUGCCGAAGGUGUGCCCGAUAAGGGGGGUGAAGUCGUAACAAGGUAGCCGUAAUCUUGCU
rnacentral:rRNA from 1 species